CCUACGGGCCGCAGCAGUGGGGAAUAUUGCACAAUGGGCGCAAGCCUGAUGCAGCCAUGCCGCGUGUAUGAAGAAGGCCCUAGGGUUGUAAAGUACUUUCAGUCGGGAGGAAGGCGUUGAUGCUAAUAUCAUCAGCGAUUGACGUUACCGACAGAAGAAGCACCGGCUAACUCCGUGCCAGCAGCCGCGGUAAUACGGAGGGUGCAAGCGUUAAUCGGAAUUACUGGGCGUAAAGCGCACGCAGGCGGUUGAUUAAGUUAGAUGUGAAAUCCCCGGGCUUAUCCUGGGAAUGGCAUCUAAGACUGGUCAGCUAGAGUCUUGUAGAGGGGGGUAGAAUUCCAUGUGUAGCGGUGAAAUGCGUAGAGAUGUGAGGAAUACCGGUGGCGAAGGCGGCCCCCUGGACCAAGACUGACGCUCAGGUGCGAAAGCGUGGGGAGCAAACAGGAUUAGAUACCCCUGGUAGUC
rnacentral:rRNA from 1 species